rnacentral:rRNA from 1 species
AGUGAACGCUGGCGGCGUGCCUAAUACAUGCAAGUCGAACGAAGUGGCUCACGGGUGAGUAAUGUAUAGCUAAUCUGCCCUACACUAGAGGACAACCGUUGGAUACGGAUGAUUAUACUUUAUAGGGUAGUUUGAUGCUAUAUUGUAUAAGCUGGUUGGUUUGGUAAUGGCUCACCAAGGCUAUGACGCAUAACUCGUCUGAGAGGAUGGUCAGUCACACUUGAAGUGAGACACCGUUCAGACUCCUACGGGAGGGAGCAGUAGGGAAUAUUGCACAAUGGGGGGAGCCAUGACGCAGCAACGCCGCGAGGGGGAUGACACUUUGCGGGGCGUAAACUCCUGUUGUUAGGGAAGCGGUACCUAACGAAUAAGCACCGGCUAACUCCGUGCCAGCAGCCGCGGUAAUAC